UACGAAGGGGGCUAGCGUUGUUCGGAUUUACUGGGCGUAAAGCGCACGUAGGCGGAUUGUUAAGUCAGGGGUGAAAUCCCGGAGCUCAACUCCGGAACUGCCUUUGAUACUGGCAAUCUUGAGGCUGGAAGAGGUUAGUGGAAUUCCCAGUGUAGAGGUGAAAUUCGUAGAUAUCUGGAGGAACACCGGUGGCGAAGGCGGCAUCCUGGACCGGUAUUGACGCUGAGGCGCGAAAGCCAGGGGAGCAA
rnacentral:rRNA from 1 species